rnacentral:rRNA from 1 species
CGGGUUGCAGCAGUGGGGAAUUUUGGACAAUGGGCGAAAGCCUGAUCCAGCAAUGCCGCGUGAGUGAAGAAGGCCUUCGGGUUGUAAAGCUCUUUUGUCAGGGAAGAAACGGUGUUUUCUAAUACAGAAUGCUAAUGACGGUACCUGAAGAAUAAGCACCGGCUAACUACGUGCCAGCAGCCGCGGUAAUACGUAGGGUGCAAGCGUUAAUCGGAAUUACUGGGCGUAAAGCGUGCGCAGGCGGUUAUGUAAGACAGAUGUGAAAUGCCCGGGCUUAACCUGGGAACUGCAUUUGUGACUGCAUGGCUAGAGUUUGGCAGAGGGGGGUAGAAUUCCACGUGUAGCAGUGAAAUGCGUAGAUAUGUGGAGGAACACCGAUGGCGAAGGCAGCCCCCUGGGUCAAGACUGACGCUCAUGCACGAAAGCGUGGGGAGCAAACAGGAUUAGAUACCCGAGU